AAUAGCCUAAUGGCUGAACCAGCAACUUGGAGGAAUGAAUAGCAAUAGCUAAUUGUACAUAUAUAUGAUGCAAUAUCGACUCAGUCGAAUAAAAUUCUGGCUAGAAUUAUGAUAAUGACAUUGUCUAGUCACGUGUCUUGACCAAAUUACGUGCCAGCAGUCGCGGUAAUACGUAAAAGACUAGUGUUAUUCAUCUUUAAUUGGUUUAAAGGGUACUCAGACAGUAAAUCAAACCUUUGCUUUGCAAGAUGGAAUUAAUUUACUAGAGUUACUUACGCGGGGGUUUUAAAGUACUAAUGGUGUAGAGAUAAAAUUUUGUAAUACCAUUUUUCGAAAGAAAAGUUAUGGCACUGAUAAAGGCGAAAGCAUCCCCUUAUGUGAUAACUGACGUUGAAAGACGAAGGCUUUGGAUCGCAAAUAGGAUUAGAUACCCUAGUAGUCUAAGCAGAGAAUUAUGAGUGUCAUAGAUUAGAAAUUAAUUUUAUUCUAUAAAUAAAAGUGUAAGCACUCCACCUCAAGAGUAAUUUGGCAACAUUGGAACUGAAAUCAUUAGACCGUUUCUGAAACCAGUAGUGAAGUAUGUUGUUUAAUUUGAUAGUCCGCAAAAAACCUUACCACAGCUUGAAUAUUUAUAUUUUUGAUAUAUUUACAAGCGUUGCACGGCUGUCUUCAGUUAAUGUCGUGAGAUUUUGGUUAGAUCCAUUAAAUUAACGCAAGCCCUUACUUUAUUUAUAAAUAAAGUAGUUCCCCGCUAUAUUGGAUAUGAUAUCAGGGAUUAAGAUAAGUCAUCAUGGCCUGAAUGCUGU
rnacentral:rRNA from 1 species